AUUGAACGCUGGCGGCAUGCUUUACACAUGCAAGUCGAACGGCAGCGCGGGCUUCGGCCUGGCGGCGAGUGGCGAACGGGUGAGUAAUACAUCGGAACGUGCCCAGUAGUGGGGGAUAGCUCGGCGAAAGCCGGAUUAAUACCGCAUACGACCUGAGGGUGAAGGCGGGGGAUCUUCGGACCUCGCGCUAUUGGAGCGGCCGAUGGCAGAUUAGCUAGUUGGUGGGGUAAAGGCCUACCAAGGCGACGAUCUGUAGCUGGUCUGAGAGGACGACCAGCCACACUGGGACUGAGACACGGCCCAGACUCCUACGGGAGGCAGCAGUGGGGAAUUUUGGACAAUGGGCGAAAGCCUGAUCCAGCAAUGCCGCGUGUGUGAUGAAGGCCUUCGGGUUGCAAAGCACUUUUGGCGGGAACGAAAAGGACUGUGCCAAUACCACGGUUCGAUGACGGUACCCGCAGAAUAAGCACCGGCUAACUACGUG
rnacentral:rRNA from 1 species